rnacentral:piRNA from 1 species
CCCAGGUAAGACCCCGAGCAGUGAGC